ACUCCUACGGGAGGCAGCAGUAGGGAAUCUUCCACAAUGGACGAAAGUCUGAUGGAGCAACGCCGCGUGAGUGAAGAAGGGUUUCGGCUCGUAAAACUCUGUUGUUAAAGAAGAACAUAUCUGAGAGUAACUGUUCAGGUAUUGACGGUAUUUAACCAGAAAGCCACGGCUAACUACGUGCCAGCAGCCGCGGUAAUACGUAGGUGGCAAGCGUUGUCCGGAUUUAUUGGGGCGUAAAGCGAGCGCAGGCGGUUUUUAAGUCUGAUGUGAAAGCCUUCGGCUCAACCGAAGAAGUGCAUCGGAAACUGGGAAACUUGAGUGCAGAAGAGGACAGUGGAACUCCAUGUGUAGCGGUGGAAUGCGUAGAUAUAUGGAAGAACACCAGUGGCGAAGGCGGCUGUCUGGUCUGUAACUGACGCUGAGGCUCGAAAGUAUGGGUAGCAAACAGGAUUAGAUACCCUGGUAGGAUAGCG
rnacentral:rRNA from 1 species